AGACAACCAACUUCAAAUAUAAUGGACACGAAACUAUCAUGGCCCAUCAAAUGGUGGAGAUGCCUCCUCCUCACUUCCGAAGUUCCCCCCAGGAAAUCGUGCACAUCAUUUUACAUGUGAUGAAGCCCGAGAAAAAUUUCAUACGACCAAACCCAAAUUACCUAAAAACUCUUGGCCAGACUCACUUUGAAUGGAUUUUGGUGGAAUAACUGAGUUGUUGAUAAUUCACUGGAUGCCAAAGAAACUAAGUAGGUUUAUGUUUUUUUUUCUUCCACUGUUGUCUUAUUUUUUGUCCUUGGCAAACUCUCCAUCAAUAAGGUAUAUUUUACUCUAUUGUUUCCAGCAUUUAUAGAAUUUUUCUUGAUGUAGUCUUUUUGAUUUUAUAUUGAUCAUUUUAAGGAAUAUUAAUAAAUUUAUCAACUUCAGCAACUCUGAGAUAUAUGGUUAAACCUCAUUUACAAUCUAUUUCAUUGUAAAGGAAUCAUAUCAUUCAAAAAGAUGAAUUUUAUAUAUAGAUUUUUUUAAACAUAAAAUACUAAUUUAUUUGAAAUGUAGUAAAUGUGGUUGAUACAUGUUUUUCUUUUCUGUUGCCUUUGCUCCCUUGUUUUAAGAAUUUAAAUUCUCUUUAGUUAAGUAGUUUAUUACUCUCCCUAGUCUUGAUUGUAAACAAAAAUAUUCAUAUUCUUGUCUCUUAAAUAUAAGCAAUCUUCAACUACCUUCAUAUUAUUUAUUGCUAUCAUUUCCUUAAUACCAUUAAGUAGUGGUAGGAGACAAUUGAUAAUAGAUUAGACAAUAAAGUAUUUUUUUUAGUGAGUUAUGAAUAUGCUUAAUUUUUUUUAUGAGACCAAGGAGAUUAGUUUUGAAUAAUUGAGACUAGAGGAGUAUUUUUUUAUUAUUAAUCCGCUGUCGCGCGGAUUAAAUUUGAUUAUUACUAAAACCAAAGGUAAAUCAAUUUAGGGGGGGGGGGUUNGGGGGGGUUGGAUUCAGGAUUGAUUAAGAAAAAAAACGAUUAUUAAAUAAGUGAUUAUUGAAAUAAGUUGUUAUGAAAUAGAUGAUUAUAAAACAAACGGAUUCACUGUGUCAGGUUCAACUUAUCAUCGAUUGCUACAACUACGACUUCUAUCCUAUUUGAACACAAUAUCAUUCAACAAGCUGUGAUCGACACUGUAAGGUACAUAUUCUUAUUGUCGGAUUAAGCAUACGGUUAUAGAUAUCGCAAAUUUAACGGUUAAGCAAAGUUGAAUUGCGAUCAAAAGUCAAGAACAUAUAUCAUUCAAAUUUAACGAAAAGGUUUGGUCAAUUUUUUUAUAGGAAAAAAGAUCGGAUCAAGAAGAAGAAGAAGAAAAAGAAGAAGAAGAAGAAGAAGUCUCUUUAUAGUGGCUUAUGUUUUGAUGUAGUAUAAACAUUGAUUCAAAGACCCAUACUUGUAUUAUUUUUGCACAAUGUCAAAUUAAAAUGUGUUUUUUAUCCAAUUAUUUCUUUUAUCCUUAUGUGCUUAUUAUUAAAAAC
rnacentral:lncRNA from 1 species